GCCAAUGGACAGGAGAUGAGGUCCAUCCUAUUCCUGGCAGACAAGGAGGGACCAACUUUUGAACUGACCACACAAGCUUUUCAGAUGUGCUUUUCGAGAAUGCUGAACUGAAGGGCUAGACUAUGAGGAGAGAAGACAUCGAGGGAGUUCCUCAGAUUAAGCUGUGUAUUUUUGCUCUCCCGACUAGUGCCCUAGACACACUUUUGCAAGACUUAGUGCAGAAGAAACUCGCAUUGGCUGGAUUUAAGAAGGAAGGGGAGGUUGUAAACAAAUUGCAGAGCAAAAGGGAACUUCUGCAGGUUGCUGAGGCUGAGUGAAAGUCAGACAGCAGAACAGCAGAACUUCCGGAAAGGUGCGCCAUACAAAGGGGAGUCAAAUACUGUUGGAUUCUCCCUUUGUAUGGAAGCAUCUAACCUAACUCCAGAGAUGGUUGCCAACCUCAGUGUGGAGUUAGGAGGAUUCCACCUCACCAUCCUGGACAUGCCAAAGAAGACGACCUACUCGAGACCCACUCCUUCAAGACCGAGACCAAGACUUCAAGACUGAAACUUUUGCAGGUCGAUACCGAGACCUAGUCUUCCAAGAUCAAGACCGAGACCAAACAAUAAACAUGUACCGGUAUACUAUUUUAUGCAAAGCUGAAUGAGGACAAGCAACAUAAUACGAUAACUGUAUUGAACAUAUAAAAUAAAGAAAUUAACGUAUGCAGCACACCAUUGAGCAUAAAUAUAUAGAUUAAAGGUUUUUUUAACACUUGACACAUUUCAUUUUACCUCUGGGAAAUACAAUGUAGUUGUGAUGAGCUGCAGACUUUUGAUAUGUCAAUAUUAGCAGGUGUAUGGUUUAAUUAUAACCAUGAACUCCCAAGCCCAUUUCCAUUUAAUUUCAAUUAAGAUGUAUGGCAUAUUUAUACGGUUCACACAAAUUUAUUGGGCAUGAUUUGUCCAAUACCAAAGUAUAAAAUGACCUUAUGUUAAGGCUAAAUGUCCGACUUUAUCGGUGAUACUUCUUUAAUGAUCACUGGACUGGUUAGAAAGGUCAGUUAGCAGAAAGAAAGUUACCCACUGAUAUGGUAUUUCCCUGUUGAUUGAAAUCGUCAUUUCCAACCUGAGUGACCCCACUGAUGGAAACAUUAAAAUUGUUUUCAUAAACAAAAAUUAAGAAAAAAAUAGUAGCCCAGUAAGAUGUUGAUUUACUGAGAUGACAAAUGAGGGAAAAGAAAUACAUUCUUUGGGCACGUGUGCCAGUUAACUGUGUACCAGUUCCAGUGCUUCCAACCUCGUCUCCAUCGUGUUGAGCGUUGAAUCGUUCCCAAGGCUGUCUCCCGUGCUGGAAAUAAAGUAACAACUUUAGA